GUCUUAUUUAAGGGGAACGUAUG
rnacentral:piRNA from 1 species